GUGACUUUUAGACAUUUGCGGAAACUAGGUCUACACUUAGGAUUACACCUUAGACUUACGAUUACAGUUAAAAAAAAACAAAGGGUCAUCUCAAAAUGAAAACAAAAAAAAAAAACAAAAAAUAAAGAUACAUAGUAAAAUGAUUUUUUUCAUUAUGUAAAUAAGUCUUUACGGCGGCAAACGAAGGCAGCGCAUGUGGUCACAAUAGAUGUUAAUCGCUGUCGUGGAUGUCUCUACAAAGUCCCCAUAACUUUAUAUUUUUUUAAUUCUCCGAUUGCGUGUUCAACCUUAACUCUAUAAUGGGUUAUCAGUCUAUUUAACUUUCUACAUUUUCUCUGCAUAUUCCGG
rnacentral:lncRNA from 1 species